AUGUUGGUAGCUUCGCCUUCACUGGAAGUUGAUGUAUCCUUUGACCAUUUUACCAUCCUCUCUGAUUCAGAUCUUUUUGAUCCACCAGUGAUUUAUUUUCCUGGUUGGGUUACUCUCUUGUUUCUUUAUUUUUUGUUACAUCCCCAAUGGUGUUUUGCAUCUCUUUGGUCUUGUUCAUAUGCAUUCAUGCUUAUAAGCAUUGCAUGGCAUCUUAGGGCCAAAAAUAGGGUUUGUUUUAUAUUUAAGUAUCUUCGAUCGUGUCGACACGAAGAUUUUUAA